rnacentral:rRNA from 1 species
AUUGAACGCUGGCGGCCGGCCUAACACAUGCAAGUCGAACGAGCGGCGGACGGGUGAGUAAUGUCUGGGAAACUGCCUGAUGGAGGGGGAUAACUACUGGAAACGGUAGCUAAUACCGCAUACCAUCAGAUGUGCCCAGAUGGGAUUAGCUAGUAGGUGGGGUAACGGCUCACCUAGGCGACGAUCCCUAGCUGGUCUGAGAGGAUGACCAGCCACACUGGAACUGAGACACGGUCCAGACUCGUACGGGAGGCAGGAGUGGGGAAUAUUGCACAAUGGACGAAAGACUGAUGCAGCAAUGCCGCGUGUGUGAAGAAGGCUUUCGGGUUGUAAAGCACUUUCAGCGGGGAGGCGUUAUCCGCAGAAGAAGCACCUGCUAACUCCGUGCCAGCAGCCGCGGUAAUAC